GACGAACGCUGGCGGCGUGCCUAAUACAUGCAAGUUGAGCGCUGAAGGUUGGUACUUGUACCAACUGGAUGAGCAGCAAACGGGUGAGUAACGCGUGGGGAAUCUGCCUUUGAGCGGGGGACAACAUUUGGAAACGAAUGCUAAUACCGCAUAAAAACUUUAAACACAAGUUUUAAGUUUGAAAGAUGCAAUUGCAUCACUCAAAGAUGAUCCCGCGUUGUAUUAGCUAGUUGGUGAGGUAAAGGCUCACCAAGGCGAUGAUACAUAGCCGACCUGAGAGGGUGAUCGGCCACAUUGGGACUGAGACACGGCCCAAACUCCUACGGGAGGCAGCAGUAGGGAAUCUUCGGCAAUGGACGAAAGUCUGACCGAGCAACGCCGCGUGAGUGAAGAAGGUUUUCGGAUCGUAAAACUCUGUUGGUAGAGAAGAGCGUUGGUGAGAGUGGAAAGCUCAUCAAGUGACGGUAACUACCCAGAAAGGGACGGCUAACUACGUG
rnacentral:rRNA from 1 species